GGAUGAUGGGAGCUUGCUCCCGGAUUCAGCGGCGGACGGGUGAGUAAUGCCUAGGAAUCUGCCUGGUAGUGGGGGACAACGUUUCGAAAGGAACGCUAAUACCGCAUACGUCCUACGGGAGAAAGCAGGGGACCUUCGGGCCUUGCGCUAUCAGAUGAGCCUAGGUCGGAUUAGCUAGUUGGUGGGGUAAAGGCCUACCAAGGCGACGAUCCGUAACUGGUCUGAGAGGAUGAUCAGUCACACUGGAACUGAGACACGGUCCAGACUCCUACGGGAGGCAGCAGUGGGGAAUAUUGGACAAUGGGCGAAAGCCUGAUCCAGCCAUGCCGCGUGUGUGAAGAAGGUCUUCGGAUUGUAAAGCACUUUAAGUUGGGAGGAAGGGCAGUAAGUUAAUACCUUGCUGUUUUGACGUUACCAACAGAAUAAGCACCGGCUAACUUCGUGCCAGCAGCCGCGGUAAUACGAAGGGUGCAAGCGUUAAUCGGAAUUACUGGGCGUAAAGCGCGCGUAGGUGGUUUGGUAAGAUGGAUGUGAAAUCCCCGGGCUCAACCUGGGAACUGCAUCCAUAACUGCCUGACUAGAGUACGGUAGAGGGUGGGUGGAAUUUCCUGUGUAGCGGUGAAAUGCGUAGAUAUAGGAAGGAACACCAGUGGCGAAGGCGACCACCUGGACUGAUACUGACACUGAGGUGCGAAAGCGUGGGGAGCAAACGGGAUUAGAUACCCUGGUAGUCCACGCCGUAAACGAUGUCGACUAGCCGUUGGGAUCCUUGAGAUCUUAGUGGCGCAGCUAACGCGAUAAGUCGACCGCCUGGGGGAGUACGGCCGCAAGGUUAAAACUCAAAUGAAUUGACGGGGGCCCGCACAAGCGGGGGAGCAUG
rnacentral:rRNA from 1 species